rnacentral:rRNA from 1 species
CAGCCGCCGCGGUAAUACGAAGGGGGCUAGCGUUGCUCGGAAUGACUGGGCGUAAAGGGCGCGUGGGCGGCGGCCAAAGUCAGGCGUGAAAUUCCCGGGCUCAACCUGGGGGCUGCGUAUGAUACUUGGUUGCUUGAGUGGGGAAGAGGGUCGUGGAAUUCCCAGUGUAGCGGUGAAAUGCGUAGAUAUCGGGAGGAACACCAGUGGCGAAGGCGAUCACCUGGGGUUGUACUGACGCUGAGGAGCGAAAGCUAGGGGAGCAAACGGGAUUAGAUACCCCCGUAGUCCCUGUCUCUUAUAC